GUCAAUCCAACCUCCUGUACAACCACGGACAUGACACACACUUCUUCCAUGCUAUGGCUAGCGGGACGGCCGAUGACUGCUCCAAACUCCGACUAGGAGAAGGACAUGGUGGGAUGGGGAGAACUCGGUGUCGGGCCGCCGUGCGUGAAGCAAGUGCCCUUGAUGCCAUGAGGCUCGUCGUCGGGCAUGAGCAGGAAGCAGUCGUCCAGCUCCGGGAUCUCUCUCCGAUGGCACAACUGCUUCAAUGUGUUCUACACCCCGGAAGGGAGCGUUAUGAAGGUGCAGUUCGUGGCUAUGUAAGCUAGGUUCCAGUGCGCCUCUUUGCAAGAAUGCAUCCACGAGGCUGGCUGCUAGCUAGCUUGCCGAAUAAUACUAAGCGAUUCUUGUUUUUCUAUGUCUAAGUAUGAUAUCUCCAGCCAUCUAAUCGAUUCUUGAUUCUUCUCAUCCAUCAAGAUUCCGCAUGGCAUCAAACUAAUCACAAAAUCUCUCUUGUGAAGUCCUGAACUUUCUCUUACAAUCCUUUUUGAGAAAUCAAUUUAUGCAAAACUAGUGUAAGAAAUAAUUUCAAGUAGGAUACUUGAAUAUGUAAUAUAAAAAAUUCAUAAAGAUAAAAAAACUCAAAAAAAACAAUUUUUUACAUGGUAGAUAAUUUAGUGGGUGAGGGACACUCCAAAUUUUAGCUCAUUUGGACAUAUGAGUAGCUGCAGCAAAAAAGACAAAUUGGGUCAGAACAAUACAUCAACAUUAAACUUUUCAACACACUCCAAAUUUGUCUUUUGUGUCGAGGGAUACUCGGGUGUCCAAAUGAUCUCAAAUUUGGAGCGCACAUCACCCACCAAAUUCUCUACCAUGCAAAAAAUUGGAUUUUCUUUAUUUUUUAGUAUUUGUUNUUUACAUGGUAGAUAAUUUAGUGGGUGAGGGACACUCCAAAUUUUAGCUCAUUUGGACAUAUGAGUAGCUGCAGCAAAAAAGACAAAUUGGGUCAGAACAAUACAUCAACAUUAAACUUUUCAACACACUCCAAAUUUGUCUUUUGUGUCGAGGGAUACUCGGGUGUCCAAAUGAUCUCAAAUUUGGAGCGCACAUCACCCACCAAAUUCUCUACCAUGCAAAAAAUUGGAUUUUCUUUAUUUUUUAGUAUUUGUUUUGAUUUUUUUAUGCAUCAAAGGUGCAAAUGAGCAUGGACAUCGAAUCGUUGCUCUGUGUAAAGAUGUACUUUUUUGAUCUUGUCACCCUUUUAUCUUGGUUUUCAGGAUGAGAUACAAUAAGAAAUCUGAGAAGGUUUGGCCGUUGAUGUCAUCGAUGAACAAAAGACUGAUGAAGCUUGGUGAUGUAAUUAGAUGGGAUUGCUAGCUGUAUAUGUUGGCAUUCGUGUGAUGUGAGAUAGUACGUUUGUAGUUUUGUAUGUUGUAUGGCAAAGCUUGAAAAGAAAUCAUAUAGUGGAUUUUGAAUGUGCAUUUUUUGCGUUAUGUUUGUUCGUGAAAAUGUGAUCAUAGUAAACUAGUUAC
rnacentral:lncRNA from 1 species